AGGAUCUAGUUUCUAAUUCUGAAAUUCAAUCUGCAGGGUCUAAUUCAAAUCUUUCUUUUCCUGCUUCCUGCGGUACUUCAAAUGAAGUAACUCCAGAUACUGUACAAAGGGAUGGCAAGUCCUUCCAAAGGGCAGUCCCUGCUCCUCCCCAGGCUCAGCCAGGCUCCGUUCUGUGCAGGCUUGGAACAUAACACCUAAGGCUAUUUCCCACUUGCCUUUCUUAAUGACUCGUUAGGCUUAAGGGGAAAGAACAGAAUUGAGUCCACCUAAGACCUUGCAUCAAGUUUUGGACACCUCACAAGGGAAGUGAUGCAUUAGGGGGAGGAAAAAUGUGACUUGUGUCUUGAGAGAAGACUUCAGAUUUCAAGUAUUAAGGAUACUCAAAAGAAAAUACAGAUUCUUCAGAAAGCCCCAGGCCUCCUGGGAUCGUUUCAGAAUUCUGGAGAUUGAAUUUAGACGUGUCCUUAGAAACCUUGUGAAAUCAGGACUGAAGAGAAUAA